rnacentral:piRNA from 1 species
UGGUGGGUGUUUGUGACAGAUUGUUUC